GCUCGUAGUUGGAUUUCUGGCAGGAGUGACUGACCACAAACUCUGUUUGUGAGUUGUGUCAUUCUGGCCAUCCUUGGUAAGAUCCUUUUUGGCAUUAAGUUGUCGGGAAGGGGAUGACCAUCGUUUACUGUGAAAAAAUUAGAGUGUUUAAAGCAGGCUUAUGCCGUUGAAUAUAUUAGCAUGGAAUAAUAAGAUAGGACUUUGAGUCUAUUUUGUUGGUUUGCGAGUCAAAGUAAUGAUUAAUAGGGACAGUUGGGGGUAUUCGUAUUUCAUUGUCAGAGGUGAAAUUCUUGGAUUUCUGAAAGACGAACUACUGCGAAAGC
rnacentral:rRNA from 1 species